rnacentral:rRNA from 1 species
AGAGUUUGAUCGAGUUUGAUCCUGGCUCAGAACGCACGCUGGCGGCAGGCUUAACACAUGCAAGUCGAACGAACUCUUCGGAGUUAGUGGCAGACGGGUGAGUAACGCGUGGGAAUAUACCUUUCGGUACGGAACAACAGUUGGAAACGACUGCUAAUACCGUAUGCGCCCUAUGGGGGAAAGAUUUAUCGCCGAAGGAUUAGCCCGCGUUGGAUUAGCUAGUUGGUGGGGUAAAGGCCUACCAAGGCGACGAUCCAUAGCUGGUCUGAGAGGAUGAUCAGCCACACUGGGACUGAGACACGGCCCAGACUCCUACGGGAGGCAGCAGUGGGGAAUAUUGGACAAUGGGGGCAACCCUGAUCCAGCCAUGCCGCGUGAGUGAUGAAGGCCCUAGGGUUGUAAAGCUCUUUCAGCGAGGAGGAUAAUGACGUUACUCGCAGAAGAAGCCCCGGCUAACUUCGUGCCAGCCGCCGCGGUAAUAC